UUUGGCCUGGAAGACCCAGGUUGUGCGGACUCUGAUAGAGUGAUGAGGCCUGCGCAGACUUGUGACUUCUGGUCCUAUGUUGGGAAUAUUAGUCCUAGCAGUGUGUUUAUUUGGACAGAAUCUUCUCACAGCAAACAAGUUGGGGUUCCAUGGAGCUGAUCUUAAGACAUGGCAAGGAAACUAAGGCCCUCGGACCACCAACAUCAGUGUCACUGAGGAGCUCGUUAGAAAUACAGAGUCAUGAACCCCACUUCAGACCUGUGGAACCAGAAGCCGGACAAAACCGCUGGCCAGGACCAGAGGGCUCCAGGGGGUCUCAGACUUGGAGAUGCGUAAAUGUCACCCAGAGACUAUGAUGUUAAAACCCCUAUUCUUAGGGCCAGCCGCUAGAGAUUCUGAGUCUCUGGUGUUUGGCAGUAGUAUUUU